AGAGUUUGAUCCUGGCUCAGGAUGAACGCUGGCGGCGUGCCUAACACAUGCAAGUCGAGCGAAGCACUUUUACUCGAUUCUUCGGAUGAUGGUAAUAGUGACUGAGUGGCGGACGGGUGAGUAACGCGUGGGUAACCUGCCUCAUACAGGGGGAUAACAGUUAGAAAUGACUGCUAAUACCGCAUAAGACCACGGAGUCGCAUGACUCGGUGGGAAAAACUCCGGUGGUAUGAGAUGGACCCGCGUCUGAUUAGGUAGUUGGUGGGGUAACGGCCUACCAAGCCGACGAUCAGUAGCCGACCUGAGAGGGUGACCGGCCACAUUGGGACUGAGACACGGCCCAAACUCCUACGGGAGGCAGCAGUGGGGAAUAUUGCACAAUGGGGGAAACCCUGAUGCAGCGACGCCGCGUGAGCGAAGAAGUAUUUCGGUAUGUAAAGCUCUAUCAGCAGGGAAGAAAAUGACGGUACCUGACUAAGAAGCACCGGCUAAAUACGUGCCAGCAGCCGCGGUAAUACGUAUGGUGCAAGCGUUAUCCGGAUUUACUGGGUGUAAAGGGAGCGUAGACGGCUGUGUAAGUCUGAAGUGAAAGCCCGGGGCUCAACCCCGGGACUGCUUUGGAAACUAUGCAGCUAGAGUGUCGGAGA
rnacentral:rRNA from 1 species